ensembl:lncRNA
AACAAUGGUUUACGAUUGAUUGAACAAUAGUUUACUGUUUAUUGAUUGAACAAUGGUUUACUGUUGAUUGAUUGAACAAUGGUUUACUGUUGAUUGAUUGAACAAUGGUUUACUGUUGAUUGAACAAUGGUUUACUGUUGAUUGAACAAUGGUUUACUGUUGAUUGAACAAUGGUUUACUGUUGAUUGAACAAUGGUUUACUGUUGAUUGAACAAUGGUUUACUGUUGAUUGAACAAUGGUUUACUGUUGAUUGAACAAUGGUUUACUGUUGAUUGAACAAUGGUUUACUGUUGAUGGAACAAUGGUUUACUGUUGAUUGAACAAUGGUUUACUGUUGAUGGAACAAUGGUUUACUGUUGAUUGAUUGAACAAUGGUUUACGAUUGAUUGAACAAUAGUUUACUGUUUAUUGAUUGAACAAUGGUUUACUGUUGAUUGAUUGAACAAUGGUUUACUGUUGAUUGAUUGAACAAUGGUUUACUGUUGAUUGAUUGAACAAUGGUUUACUGUUGAUGGGACUGCAACACCACAGUGCAGCAGCUUUGGGAGAAUAUGCACGUCCCACAUGUUACCCUUUUGCCUAUAUAGUGCACUACUUUAGACCAGACCCUAACACCCUAUUCCCUAUAUAGUGCACUACUUUAGACCAGAGCCCUAACACCCUAUUCCCUAUACAGUGCACUACUUUAGACCAGGGCCCUAUAGAACCCUAUUCCCUAUACAGUGCACUACUUUAGACCAGGCCCCUAUAGAACCCUAUUCCCUAUACAGUGCACUACUUUUGUGCCAUUUGGGAUACAGGCCAUAUCAUGUGCUGGCUGUCGGGUGAGUUGGUUUGUGUUGGAGGCUGUUGAGGCUAAAGGUUGUGGAGGCUGUUGAGGCUGGGGGCCAGCCUGGACCUGAUUGUGUGUGUUGUAUAUCCUGUAGUCUGUUCAUUGUCUUACGUCAGAGAGCACACCGAUUCCACCUGCAACCAUCGGAUGAGGGACGAGCCUCGCGUAGAAGUGACGCCACCUGACGUAAGACAAUGGUACAACUCUGACGCAGCUGACCAUAGGUCAGGGCCCGGUUAGUUACGGUGAGGCAGAGCAGACCAUAGGUCAGAGCCCGGUUAGUUACAGUAACUCAGAGCAGACCAUAGGUCAGGACCCGGUUAGUUACUGUAACUCAGAGCAGACCAUAGGUCAGGACCCGGUUAGUUACAGUAACUCAGAGCAGACCAUAGGUCAGGACCCGGUUAGUUAUGGUAAGGCAGAGCAGACCAUAGGUCAGGAUCCGGUUAGUUACGGUAACUCAGAGCAGACCAUAGGUCAGGAUCCGGUUAGUUACGGUAACUCAGAGCAGACCAUAGGUCAGGACCCGGUUAGUUACGGUAACUCAGAGCAGACCAUAGGUCAGGAACCGGUUAGUUACGGUAACUCAGAGCAGACCAUAGGUCAGAGCCCGGUUAGUUACAGUAACUCAGAGCAGACCAUAGGUCAGAGCCCGGUUAGUUACGGUAACUCAGAGCAGACCAUAGGUCAGUACCCGGUUAGUUACGGUAACUCAGAGCAGACCAUAGGUCAGGACCCGGUUACUUACGGUAACUCAGAGAUGGCUCUCCAUUCACACUGUAUAGAGAUCUAGCAUGUCUGUCCUAAACAAUCAAUAAAGAUGUCUUACUAUCAAAACCA